CCAGGCUUCGCGUCCAUCUCGGUUUCAUCUCUUGCGUUUCACUUCCACGUUGCAAUGGUGGAAGGUGGGGACCGCGGCGCAUCGAAGAGGCGGGAACCACCGGUCCGAGGUGCCAGCCGAGUAUUCAAAGUGGGAUUGCAGCCUUGUGAAGGGGGACUCUAGUAUGCUGCACAAGCUUAGGCUACAGUAUACGAAGGAACUGGCGGUGUCCAAGUUCAAUGAGCACAAAUCACAGAACCUAUGUCGGGCGUACCAGUGUAUCUCUGCUCCUUUUCCUACGAUGUAAACUUGUGGUUGCCGCUAGGGUCUUUUUGCAUUAUCUUACUUGCAGUUGUAUAGACUAGUUAUUCCUCAUAUUUUUUCCUGACUGGUUUUUGAUUACAUGUCGUGGGAUAGUACUGGCAUUUAAUAUUUAUAUUCUCGUUAUCCUC